rnacentral:lncRNA from 12 species
AUGGAGACUCCAACAGUCAUCCUGAAAACAUUGGUGUUGGUGGGAGGAAAUAUACAAGGAUUUUCAGACAGACUUUUCUCUCUACCGGAAAAUGUGUAUGAUGUUUUCCACGGCUGUCAUUGUACGCUUUCAUCAACAGUGUAUCCACUGAGGAAGACAAAUGUUAUCAAGGAAAUCCUGAUGGCCGAAACGUCAGCACACCGCCCACCGAGUCUCACCACGGUCACUUCUACCUUCACCUCGGACACAGGCCACCUCCUGGGACCACUCACCCUCAGAAGAAUUGUCCUGAAGAAGCCAAAGUGAUAUUUUUUUUAAAAGAAAAUGUAUGGAUUGCCUGCAACGGACAAUUUAUUUUAUCUAUUCCUGUUUUCUUCUCAUUGUUAUUUUUUAAAUUAAAUUUUACAGUUUAA